GGCGGACGGGUGAGUAAUGCUUGGGAACAUGCCUUGAGGUGGGGGACAACAGUUGGAAACGACUGCUAAUACCGCAUAAUGUCUACGGACCAAAGGGGGCUUCGGCUCUCGCCUUUAGAUUGGCCCAAGUGGGAUUAGCUAGUUGGUGAGGUAAUGGCUCACCAAGGCGACGAUCCCUAGCUGGUUUGAGAGGAUGAUCAGCCACACUGGGACUGAGACACGGCCCAGACUCCUACGGGAGGCAGCAGUGGGGAAUAUUGCACAAUGGGCGCAAGCCUGGUGCAGCCAUGCCGCGUGUGUGAAGAAGGCCUUCGGGUUGUAAAGCACUUUCAGUCAGGAGGAAAGGUUAGUAGUUAAUACCUGCUAGCUGUGACGUUACUGACAGAAGAAGCACCGGCUAACUCCGUGCCAGCAGCCGCGGUAAUACGGAGGGUGCGAGCGUUAAUCGGAAUUACUGGGCGUAAAGCGUAC
rnacentral:rRNA from 1 species